rnacentral:rRNA from 1 species
AGUGAACGCUGGCGGUAGGCCUAACACAUGCAAGUCGAACGGCAGCACAGUAAGAGCUUGCUCUUACGGGUGGCGAGUGGCGGACGGGUGAGGACUACAUCGGAAUCUACUUUUUCGUGGGGGAUAACGUAGGGAAACUUACGCUAAUACCGCAUACGACCUACGGGUGAAAGCAGGGGAUCUUCGGACCUUGCGCGAUUGAAUGAGCCGAUGUCGGAUUAGCUAGUUGGCGGGGUAAAGGCCCACCAAGGCGACGAUCCGUAGCUGGUCUGAGAGGAUGAUCAGCCACACUGGAACUGAGACACGGUCCAGACUCCUACGGGAGGCAGCAGUGGGGAAUAUUGGACAAUGGGCGCAAGCCUGAUCCAGCCAUACCGCGUGGGUGAAGAAGGCCUUCGGGUUGUAAAGCCCUUUUGUUGGGAAAGAAAAGCAGCAGGUUAAUACCCCGCUGUUCUGACGUUACCCAAAGAAUAAGCACCGGCUAACUUCGUG